rnacentral:rRNA from 1 species
GACGAACGCUGGCGGCGUGCCUAAUACAUGCAAGUUGAGCGCUGAAGGUUGGUACUUGUACCAACUGGGUGAGCAGCGAACGGGUGAGUAACGCGUGGGGAAUCUGCCUUUGAGCGGGGGACAACAUUUGGAAACGAAUGCUAAUACCGCAUAAAAACUUUAAACACAAGUUUUAAGUUUGAAAGAUGCAAUUGCAUCACUCAAAGAUGAUCCCGCGUUGUAUUAGGUAGUUGGUGAGGUAAAGGCUCACCAAGGCGAUGAUACAUAGCCGACCUGAGAAGGUGAUCGGCCAAAUUGGGACCGAGACACGGCCCAAAACUCUACGGGAGGCAGCAGUAGGGAAUCUUCGGCAAUGGACGAAAGUCUGACCGAGCAACGCCGCGUGAGUGAAGAAGGUUUUCGGAUCGUAAAACUCUGUUGGUAGAGAAGAACGUUGGUGAGAGUGGAAAGCUCAUCAAGUGACGGUAACUACCCAGAAAGGGACGGCUAACUACGUG